GCCAGUCAUUCCACCGCCCCUGUCUUUUCUCCUCCCUUCCCUAAUCUUCCAUGGUCGCCAGAUCCCUCCCUCCAUAGCCGGCGCUCCCUGUAAGGCCGCCCCUCCCCUUCGUCACCCACGCCGGUGGACGUGCAUGCCCCUGCUCCACCUCGCUCCUCCUUCGAAUUCGGCCGUCGAAGUGCUCGAGGAGGCAGUCGAGCUUGGCAUGCUCGCCGGUGACGCUGGCCCCUUACCGCACACGCCGGACUACCAACCUCUCAGGCGGGGGGCGCACGCCGACCCCAGGAAGAGAGAAGCGAAGAUUUUGUGCCGGCUUCUUGCUCAGCUGGGAAUUUGAAGAGGACGGCCGUGGCCAUGGCCUUGGAGGAGGUGGAAGUUCCCGUCCCCACAGAGAAGUUGUCCACGGAUCCAAAUCUAGACGGGGGAAGGCGGGGUGGUGUUGUGCUGGUGGCCACCGGGAGCUUCAACCUUCCCACCUACAUGCACAGACAUGUUUGAGCUUGCGAAGGAUGAGUUGCAGCAGCGAGGGUAGUCGGUGCUGGGAUGUUACUGCCUUAAUGGAUACAUGUCCCUGGUGAACCGAUGCUAACAAGAAGAAGGCAAUGCAGAAAGGUCAUCAGCGUACCUUGACCAUUCUCUCAAGAGUUAAGAAUUCUUCUGUGCAAGGAUGGCUUAGCUGAUCAAGGAAGUGUCAAGGUAAUGCUGCUAUGUGGUUCUGACCUGCUCGAGUCAUUCAGCAAGCCAGGGGUUUGGAUUCCAGAUCAGUCAAAGGAAGAAGUCGAACCUGAAGAAGUCCUCAGAAGAAUCACAGCUGCGUGUGCCCGGCUGGUUCAGGGGACGCGACAGGCGCUGGCGCCCUACCCCGGCGGGCGUGUGCGCGGCGGCGUGGGUGCCAGUGCAGGGCGGGCACGGCGGUGCGGGUGCCGGGGCAGGCUCUCUCCUGGGCACUGGCGAUCUCGCAGGACGGAUGCCACGCUACGAGCGGCAACAAUCGGCGAUGGCGAUCGUGCACGGAGGUGACGGGACGGUGCAGUGCGGCGUGGUCGCUGCGCAGGCAGGAGACGCCGUUGGUUGGCGGCGUAUGUGCCUGGCGGUGAGGUCAAGGUCAAGGGCGUGAAGUUCCCUUAGCUUGCGAUCUGAUUUUCCGUGAUUGUAGGGGAUGCUGGGCUGGUUGUUAGUUUGCGAUCUGAUUUCCGUGAUUGUAGGGGACGCGCGGGGCUGGUUGUUCGACUACUACUCUCCUGGUGAAGUACGGUCAGUCAUUGGUAAAUGCUAAGUGCACACUGUAGAGGUAUUGGAUUAAUGAUGGCCGUUAGAUUGAGACUUGUUGGCCUAAUCGUGUGGUGCUGAUUGGCUCGUGCGUUAUAGUGUGAUUAAUUGCGGGGUGCAUGUAAGAAAGUUCUUGUUUGAUUGUUUAAUAGUAGUAGAAGAAGUAGAUAGAUAAUCGUGUGGUGCUGAUUGGCUCGUGCGUUAUUGUGGGAUUAAUUGCGGGGUGCAUGUAAGAAAGUUUUUGUUUGAUUGUUUAAUAGUAGUAGAAGAUUAUUAAUAGUAGUAGAUAGAGAAGUAGAGAAGAGAUAGGGAUUUCAGGCCUGGGAGCAAAAGACGAAAUAAUGUCAUUUGCAAUCAAUGGUGAUACAAUAUUUGUAUGAAACAUAAUAAAGAAAAACUAAUAGGCGUACAUGUAUUAAAAAAUUGGCACUGGUGUGUUUCUGCUGCCUAAUUAACACCUUGCAUCAUAUUCUGCAUAUGGGUAACAAAAUUGCAAGAAUGGAAAAAUUCUAACAAAAUUGUAUUAAAAAAUUGUAUGUAUAGUAUAUAUUAUAAGAAAACGCUACAGAACUUUAUAAAAAACAUACAUAAAAAUUCCCAAAUCUGGACAUAUAUUACAUUAUAUAUUAUAUAUCCAGUACAUCUAAAGAGAAGUACUCAAAUAUAAUAUUGGAAGUUGCUAGUGUGUGCAUUACGGUGAUUGACGAGUUACGAUUCGUAAUUUCGUGUAACUCCGCCGCUGAUUUUUUCUAACUGUCGGAUCAAAGAAAUCAUUUAAAGGUUUUUUAUGUGCGAACAGGGUAGAGUAGUAAAUUAGCCGGUCAAUCCAGUCGCUAGUCAAUCCCUCGCAUAGCCUUCGUCGUUGUCAGUUUAUUAUCCUCCUCAAUCCCCUCGCACAGCCGCCGCCACCGACCCGACCCUCGACCGUGGCGAUGACGGCGUCCCUCCUGUCGGUCGUGCCGCCGCUGCCCCAGAUCGUCACACAGCCGCAGCUGCCUAUACUUUUUCUCGCCCCUCCCCUAAUCCAGUUUCCGUCCAAAGCCGCCACCGCAAACAAGGGAUCCCACCGGACCUCGCCGCCGCCGCAAUCAAGUGAUCCCGCCGGACCUCGCCGCCGCCGCCAUCAAGGGAUCCCGCCGGACCUCGCCACCGCCGCAAUUAAGGGAUCCCGCUGGAUUGCCGCCAGGUUUCUGGCCCGCCGCCAGGAGCCGCAGGAACUGCAUGCCAUUAGGCGCGGCGUGCCGAGCCCGCCGAAGCCUCCUCUGCCCCACCGCCCCCUGCAGCGCAUCCCUCCGUCGAGCAUCCGGUCAUGCCGAGCAACGCCGCGGACCAGUCCGUAGGCAGGAUCUAUCUGGCCGACCUCAUUUGAGCUGCGGCUUAAGUAUUCCUACUGCACGGGUUUGCACAUAUGAUACAUAGUUGGUUGAGCACAUCUUCUAGACUCUUGUGAAUACAUCUGGGACAACGGUUCACAUCAGUCAGGGUUGCCAUGUGAAGAAAAAGGAUAUGUGGGAGCUUUUGAAUGGACAAAGGCUUCAGCAAGGAAGAGAAGACAGCUGCAUUUCCUUACUUGCAAUUCUAGUAACUAUCUUUGUUAUAACUUGCAGAGUGUACCUGCAAAAGAAAACUUGUAGAGUGUGAUGGAUUAAUUAGGAUGCUAUGUAAUCAGAGUAAGUACCCUAUCAUAUGUAUCAUGACUGAUUGCGACCAGGGUCUGCAUUCUAUGAAGAAGGCACCCAUUUAUAUGUUUAUUAGUGACAUUGUGUUGUGCUUGCUC